CGGUUGUUGUUGUUGUAUAGCAACCAUUCGCAAGCAAAGAAAAAAUUUAUGUUUGAAUUGCACUGCUAUACAACAUGUCGUAUAUGGGUCGUGCAGAUUCUGCUGCAGCAUGAUGCCGACGUUAAUUCCAAGUUAUGUCUUGUUCCGCUGCACAAUGCCUGUUCGUUUGGUACUUUGAAGUGCCCGAACUGAAUCAGAACUGCAGGAAAAAAAUUACAUAUGAAUAUAAGGAGCACUUUUGGCUGGAUGCUUGUCGGGCUGAUAUCCAGUGACUGAAAAAGAACCUCAGCCGAAAAUAUCAAAGUAGUACAUCCGUACAGUAGCUCACUCAGUGUAUCCGAAGCGAAAAAUUCUCGAAAUUUUGAUUCGUAAUGGUGCACAGUUGAACGAGAAAAAUAUAUAGAUUAUGGAUGUGCUUCUGCGUCACGAUGUCAACGUGGAUACGCUCGACGGACUCGGUCAAACAACGUCACAUAGAUGCGCUAGAGAAGAUAAGAUUCAAGCAACGACACGACGUGAAACUUCAUGAAACAUUUCAAAGAAAAAGUGCCCGAGUCAUUUAUCGCUAGUCACCAGUGCAUUGAGCUACCCCUCGGAAAAGAUAAAAAAUGAAUUUCUCGAGCAACACUGUUUUGAUUUUAUUUUAUUACUAUGCGUGGUUAUCAUGCCAUCAUCUUCCCGUGAAAAUGUUUGACUGUGGUGUAAAUACCGUACCCAAAUGGCUUUAAAAAUGAGAUAACGAAAGGUAAUAGCAUUAAAUAGUUUAACAAUGUCUAUUUUCAGAUGGAGGAUAGAUAGUUCUACAAUAGAGGCAUAAUUCCAUGUUUGAAAUGCUAUCAUCGAAGAGCCAGCGUUAUCUAACGUUAGGAUGCGAUGGUCCUUCAUACUCAGAACAUACAGGGCGAGAAACUAUCUUGCGUACGAUGCCUAGAUUUGUUACGGAGCCCUGCAAAAAGGGUCACGAAGUCAUCAUUGAUAAACUGCUGGCGUGCCGAGUUCAAGAAGGGCUAAUACUCCACUCCUGAGGUCCCUACAAGAAUUACAUGGAUAAGCUGCAUUGCCCUAGUUUUGUACCUUCAAUGCAAGAUUGGCUAUAAUAUUUGGCCUUCAUAUAUUCUACUCAUUCGGUUCACGAACUCACAUUGGAAUAUAUCGAAGCCGUAGAGCCAUCAGCUAAAUGGCGUAGUUUUAGUCAGAUAUCAAUCUUAAAACAUAUGGAAAAGGCUUGAGAUGAAGUGAAAAAACAUGGUUAAACAUUUAUCUUUUUUAUACGAUCCUAUUAAAUUUGUCGAGAACUGUAAUACCGGACAUUUAAAACUAAACAUCAAACAAAUUGAAUAAUAUUACAGUAAGCAAACAAACAAAAAUAUGUACAGUAACAUAUUUAGUUUGCCUAAAGUUCAAUUAAAAGUUUUCUUGACCUGAUGUACAGUGUAAACUAACAGAUUUUCGUACGCAAUAAAACUACAAAUUAAAAAAAACAAGAAUUCAGUAUCAAAAUAGGUGCUCAAUACUAAUACUACGUUCAGACUACGAGUUAAAACGUUUUUAACUAACAUAGUAUAAACACAUAAUAGACGUUUAGGCUCAAUUUGAAUCGUGUGUAAAUACCCGCUACUGAAAUUCCGAAUGAUUCGGACGUUUGAAACACGUUUGGCAAACGUUUGUAGAUGGCGCAGUGAUCGAUACAAUGCAGUUAGAGUGCAGCUGUCAAACACGUGUAGCAAACAGUUGCGCAGAUGGCAAUAGUGAAACACGGAUUUCCAACGUUUAUCAAUUUGAAAGUUUACACAGGUUUUUGAAGAAAUUUUGUUCUAGCCUAAACGUCUGUUAUCUGUGGUAUAAAUUUAUCAUUUGUUUCGCUACAAAUCGACGGAAGUGCGAUAGUUAUCGCCUACCCUAUCCUCAAUGCGUAUUUUAAUAUCUCAAAUGUUGCAUUUGCGUCCAUUUGAGGUAGGUUUACUCUAUUGAAUUUCAUUAUAAUUUUGGCACUCGUAACAU